GUGGGUAUAGCUCAGUGGUAGAGCACAUGCUCAGCAAGCAUGAGGUCCUGGGUUCAAUCCCCAGUACCUCCA
rfam:Camelus ferus unplaced genomic scaffold scaffold533, whole genome shotgun sequence.